GUACGCUGGCGGCACGCCUAACACAUGCAAGUCGAACGAAGUAGCAAUACUUAGUGGCAGACGGGUGAGUAACAUGUGGGUAUCUACCCUUUGGCCUGGAAUAACACGAGGAAACUUGUGCUAAUACUGGAUAAGUCUUUACGGAGAAAGCUUUAUGCACCAUUGGAUGAGCCUGCACUUGAUUAGUUUGUUGGUGGGGUAAUGGCCUACCAAGACUGUGAUCAAUAGCUGAUUUGAGAGGAUGAUCAGCCACAUUGGGACUGAGACACGGCCCAAACUCCUACGGGAGGCAGCAGUGGGGAAUCUUGCACAAUGGAGGAAACUCUGAUGCAGCGAUGCCGCGUGAGUGAAGAAGGCCCUUGGGUUGUAAAGCUCUUUCGUCGGGGAAGAAAAUGACUGUACCCGAAUAAGAAGGUCCGGCUA
rnacentral:rRNA from 1 species